GCCCGAAUAGCUCAAUUGGUAGAGCAGCGGUUUUGUAAACCGAAGGUUGCGGGUUCAAUUCCUGCUUUGGGCACCA
rnacentral:tRNA from 2 species